GUCUACAGCCAUGCCACUCUGAACAAGCCCGAUCUCGUCUGAUCUCGGAAGCUAAGCAGGGUUGGGCCUGCUUAGUACUUGGAUGGGAGACUUCCUAGGAAGAUCAGGUGAUGCGGGAG
ensembl:rRNA 5S_rRNA 5S ribosomal RNA